rnacentral:rRNA from 1 species
UGGGGAAUUUUGGACAAUGGGCGCAAGCCUGAUCCAGCCAUGCCGCGUGAGUGAAGAAGGCCUUCGGGUUGUAAAGCUCUUUCGGCGGGGACGAAACGGUUCAUGCCAACACCAUGGACUAAUGACGGUACUCGCAGAAGAAGCACCGGCUAACUACGUGCCAGCAGCCGCGGUAAUACGUAGGGUGCAGGCGUUAAUCGGAAUUACUGGGCGUAAAGCGUGCGCAGGCGGCUCCUUAAGUCAGAUGUGAAAUCCCCGGGCUUAACCUGGGAACUGCGUUUGAUACUAAGGAGCUUGAGUGUGGAAGAGGGGGUGGAAUUCCAGGUGUAGCAGUGAAAUGCGUAGAGAUCUGGAGGAACACCGAUGGCGAAGGCAGCCCCCUGGGCUAACGACUGACGCUCAUGCACGAAAGCGUGGGGAGCAAACAGGAUUAGAUACCCUGGUAGUCCACGCCCUAAACGAUGUCAACUAGUGUUAGGAAGCAAUUCCU